GUACCCAGUUCGGAUUGUAGGCUGCAACUCGCCUACAUGAAGUCGGAGUUGCUAGUAAUCGCGGAUCAGAAUGCCGCGGUGAAUGCGUUCCCGGGUCUUGUACACACCGCCCGUCACACCAUGGAAGUUGGGGGCGCCCGAAGUUGCCUAAGAAAUAAGGUACCUAAGGCGAAACCAAUGACUGGGGUGAAGUCGUAACAAGGUACC
rnacentral:rRNA from 1 species